GAUGGCUUUUCAUUAGUGUAAAGAGCUUUUGGAAUAAGAGCUGGGCAAGACCGGUGCCAGCCGCCGCGGUAACACCGGCAGCUCUAGUGGUAGCAAUUUUUAUUGGGCCUAAAGCGUCCGUAGCCGGUUUAAUAAGUCUCUGGUGAAAUCCUGUAGCUUAACUGUGGGAAUUGCUGGAGAUACUAUUAGACUUGAGACCGGGAGAGGUUAGAGGUACUCCCAGGGUAGAGGUGAAAUUCUGUAAUCCUGGGAGGACCGCCUGUUGCGAAGGCGUCUAACUGGAACGGUUCUGACGGUGAGGGACGAAAGUUAGGGGCGCGAACCGGAUUAGAUACCCGGGUAGUCCUAACUGUAAACGAUGCGGACUUGGUGUUGGGGUGGCUUUGAGCUGUCUCAGUGCCGAAGGGAAGCUGUUAAGUCCGCCGCCUGGGAAGUACGGUCGCAAGACUGAAACUUAA
rnacentral:rRNA from 1 species